UUUGAUUGAGUACGUAGGCAUAAUACCACAGGGGCAUUAUGAAUCGUGCAUGCCACCUGCGGACCUAACGUCCGUGGUAUCUUUAUAAGAUUUUAAUA
rfam:Drosophila melanogaster chromosome X.